rnacentral:rRNA from 1 species
UCUUACCACCGGGAUGUUCAUAACCCUUUGUUGUCCGACUCUGUUGCCUCCGGGGCGACCCUGCCUUCGGGCGGGGGCUCCGGGUGGACACUUCAAACUCUUGCGUAACUUUGCAGUCUGAGUAAACUUAAUUAAUAAAUUAAAACUUUUAACAACGGAUCUCUUGGUUCUGGCAUCGAUGAAGAACGCAGCGAAAUGCGAUAAGUAAUGUGAAUUGCAGAAUUCAGUGAAUCAUCGAAUCUUUGAACGCACAUUGCGCCCCCUGGUAUUCCGGGGGGCAUGCCUGUUCGAGCGUCAUUUCACCACUCAAGCCUCGCUUGGUAUUGGGCAACGCGGUCCGCCGCGUGCCUCAAAUCGACCGGCUGGGUCUUCUGUCCCCUAAGCGUUGUGGAAACUAUUCGCUAAAGGGUGUUCGGGAGGCUACGCCGUAAAACAACCCCAUUUCUAAGGUUGACCUCGGAUCAGGUAGGGAUACCCGCUGAACUUAAGCAUAUCAAUAAGCGGAAGAA